UGGCGCCCAAUAUGGGGCUUGAGAACAUGGAGGAUCAGUGAAUGUCGCACACCAAAGCAGGCCUGCAUAUCAGUUGGACCACCAUGGAGAACGAUCCACAAGUGAAGACCNGGUCAAGUGAUUGCCACGGGGACCCCAACCGUGAGACAGAUCUGGAGAGUUGAUUUGUGCUGACGAAAGGUAAGUUUACCNUGGGACAAGCAUUUCGUAAGCAGGAUUUAUUUAUUUCAGGACUUAAACAGUCUCUGAAGACACGAGGAACAAGAGUAAAAAAGAAAGAUUUUAAAAAGUUUCUUGAUUAUAUUGGGGACCUUUGUCCCU
rfam:Neotoma lepida isolate 417 scaffold_644, whole genome shotgun sequence.